rnacentral:lncRNA from 1 species
GGAUGCGUGAUGGUUUUUCUUUUAGAUAUAGGUUGAACCACAGUGAGGAGAUUAAUUGGAGUCACUUUUGUUAAGAGAACACAAAAAUGCAUUUGUAAUGUACUGUGCUUUGCAUAGAGUAGAAACUUAAAAGUGCUUUUACAAUUAAUCCAAAACCAAGGGGAUAGGCUGAUGGUGGAGAACCAGGGAUUCUAUUACUUAGUCUAAAGAAAAAAAUGCUCUAAAUGUUGGACUUCAUUGGGAAGCUGAACCUAAAGGUGGUGGCAGAAGGCAGAGGCAACGGUGGUGGCUAAACACAAGAGGGAAAGCUGGUAAUGGGUCAUCAUAGCCCCAAACCAUGAUGCAAGUUCUCAAGCUCUCAUCAACAAAACCCAGGAGACCUACUGGCUGUCAUGCACCGAAAGAGGCCGAAAAAGUGUUGAAGCAGAGUCCAAUUAUGUGCAUAAAUGUAAUUCUCCAAACUGACUACUCAUGAAAAUCACAUGGGAAGCUUCCGAGAGAAGAGAUUCUAGGAGACCCUUGAUACUCAUGGAAUCAGAAACACCAACUGGACCCUAGGAUACUUCCUAGUAUUCAGAACCUCUGCUUCUUUUCAGCUGAAUCAGGAUCCUUUUACACCAAUGGCUGAGUAUAAGGCAAAACACCUAAUGGUUUGUCUACAGUGGGUAUACCCGUUGCAAGUUUUCCCUCAAAAAAGAUUGUAUGGAUUAAAGCAAGUACUCUACUUCGUUAUUCUGCACAGAUGACAACCACCCAUUGAAAAUGUUCUCAAGACAACUGUGCCAAGUAGUGAAAAACGCCCAUGCUCCUUCUGCACCUGGAGAACGAACUUCAUUCUCUUCUAUGCAGCAAUUUUGUCCCCAUGCCCCUCCUCAACCUGGGCUCACAGAGGACCUUGGUCCGCGUCUAUACAGCUAUACUGAAGAAGAAUCUGGACAUUUCUUGAGAACUCACAGAGGAUGCUUCUAG